rnacentral:tRNA from 1 species
GCGCACUUAGCUCAAAUGUUAAGAGCAUCACUCUUGAAAGUUGAGGUUGUGGGUUCAAUUCCCACAGUGCACA